rnacentral:rRNA from 1 species
GACGAACCGUACGAACGCUAUUCGGAAUUACUGGGCUUAAAGGGUGCGUAGGCGGCGCAGUAAGUUGGGUGUGAAAUCCCUCGGCUUAACCGAGGAAUUGCGCCCAAAACUACUGUGCUCGAGGGAGAUAGAGGUGAGCGGAACUUAGGGUGGAGCGGUGAAAUGCGUUGAUAUCCUAAGGAACACCGGUGGCGAAAGCGGCUCACUGGAUCUCUUCUGACGCUGAGGCACGAAAGCUAGGGUAGCAAACGGG